UGGGGAAUUUUGGACAAUGGGCGCAAGCCUGAUCUAGCCAUGCCGCGUGAGCGAUGAAGGCCUUAGGGUUGUAAAGCUCUUUCAGUGGGGAAGAUAAUGACUGUACCCACAGAAGAAGCCCCGGCUAACUCCGUGCCAGCAGCCGCGGUAAUACGCAGGGGGCUAGCGUUGUUCGGAAUUACUGGGCGUAAAGCGCACGAAGGCGGACUGGAAAGUCAGGGGCGAAAUCCCGGGGCUCAACCCCGGAACUGCCUUUGAAACUCCCGGUCUUGAGGUCGAGAGAGGUGAGUGGAAUUCCGAGUGUAGAGGUGUAAUUCGUAGAUAUUCGGAGGAAAACCAGUGGCGAAGGCGGCUCACUGGCUCGAUACUGACGCUGAGGUGCGAAAGCGUGGGGAGCAAAC
rnacentral:rRNA from 1 species